rnacentral:rRNA from 1 species
GACGAACGCUGGCGGCGUGCUUAACACAUGCAAGUCGAACGGUGAAGGGACCAGCUUGCUGGUUCUGGAUGAGUGGCGAACGGGUGAGUAACACGUGAGUAACCUGCCCCCUUCUUCUGGAUAACCGCAUGAAAGUGUGGCUAAUACGGGAUAUUCUGGGUCUGUCGCAUGAUGGGCCCGGGAAAGAUAUUGUUUCGGUGGGGGAUGGGCUCGCGGCCUAUCACCUUGUUGGUGGGGUGAUGGCCUACCAAGGCGGUGACGGGUAGCCGACCUGAGAGGGAGGAGAGAGAAACUGGGACCGCAACCCUACCCCCUACCCCCUCCCCCCACAUUCAUUGUGGAAAUUUUUUUUAUGGAUUUAUGCGGUAUACUUAUCUCCCACCGAAGCAUGCAGGAUUGACGUAUUUUUUUUUUUUUAUUUCUUUAUUCUGCCCCAAGAACAAGAGGGGGGCGGGUAAGAUAACUUUUGACUUCCGCCCCCCCUCUAACCACAAGGCGACGGCUUUUCUUUUUCCCCCACACCCUUUACUUUUUAUUAUCCUCCCUAAUUCCUCUUUUUUUGA